rnacentral:rRNA from 1 species
UACGUAGGGUGCAAGCGUUGUCCGGAAUUAUUGGGCGUAAAGAGCUCGUAGGCGGUUUGUCGCGUCUGCUGUGAAAACCCGAGGCUCAACCUCGGGCCUGCAGUGGGUACGGGCAGACUAGAGUGCGGUAGGGGAGAUUGGAAUUCCUGGUGUAGCGGUGGAAUGCGCAGAUAUCAGGAGGAACACCAAUGGCGAAGGCAGAUCUCUGGACAGUUACUGACACUGAGGCACGAAGGCCAGGGGAGCAAACGGG